rnacentral:rRNA from 1 species
CCUACGGGUGGCAGCAGUGGGGGAUAUUGCACAAUGGGGGAAACCCUGAUGCAGCGACGCCGCGUGUGGGAAGACGGUCCUCUGGAUUGUAAACCACUGUCCCCAGGGACGAAGAUGACGGUACCUGGGGAGGAAGCUCCGGCUAACUACGUGCCAGCAGCCGCGGUAAUACGUAGGGAGCGAGCGUUGUCCGGAAUUACUGGGUGUAAAGGGAGCGUAGGCGGGACUGCAAGUUGGGUGUCAAAUCUACCGGCUCAACCGGUAGCCGCACUCAAAACUGCAGUUCUUGAGUGAAGUAGAGGCAGGCGGAAUUCCUAGUGUAGCGGUGAAAUGCGUAGAUAUUAGGAGGAACACCAGGGGCGAAGGCGGCCUGCUGGGCUUUUACUGACGCUGAGGCUCGAAAGUGUGGGGAGCGAACAGGAUUAGAUACCCUUGUAGUC